GGUUCCUAAGGCGAGGCUGAAAAGCGUAGUCGAUGGGAAACAGGUUAAUAUUCCUGUACUUCUGGUUACUGCGAUGGAGGGACGGAGAAGGCUAGGCCAGCUUGGCGUUGGUUGUCCAAGUUUAAGGUGGUAGGCUGAAAUCUUAGGUAAAUCCGGGGUUUCAAGGCCGAGAGCUGAUGACGAGUCGUCUUUUAGAUGACGAAGUGGUUGAUGCCAUGCUUCCAAGAGAAGCUUCUAAGCUUCAGGUAACCAGGAACCGUACCCCAAACCGACACAGGUGGUCGGGUAGAGAAUACCAAGGCGCUUGAGAGAACUCGGGUGAAGGAACUAGGCAAAAUGGCACCGUAACUUCGGGAGAAGGUGCGCCGGCUAGGGUGAAGGAUUUACUCCGUAAGCUCUGGCUGGUCGAAGAUACCAGGCCGCUGCGACUGUUUAUUAAAAACACAGCACUCUGCAAACACGAAAGUGGACGUAUAGGGUGUGACGCCUGCCCGGUGCCGGAAGGUUAAUUGAUGGGGUUAGCGCAAGCGAAGCUCUUGAUCGAAGCCCCGGUAAACGGCGGCCGUAACAAUAACGGUCCUAAGGUAGCGAAAUUCCUUGUCGGGUAAGUUCCGACCUGCACGAAUGGCGUAACGAUGGCGGCGCUGUCUCCACCCGAGACUCAGUGAAAUUGAAAUCGCUGUGAAGAUGCAGUGUAUCCGCGGCUAGACGGAAAGACCCCGUGAACCUUUACUGUAGCUUUGCACUGGACUUUGAGCCUGCUUGUGUAGGAUAGGUGGGAGGCUUUGAAGCGUGGACGCCAGUUCGCGUGGAGCCAUCCUUGAAAUACCACCCUGGCAUGCUUGAGGUUCUAACUCUGGUCCGUAAUCCGGAUCGAGGACAGUGUAUGGUGGGCAGUUUGACUGGGGCGGUCUCCUCCUAAAGAGUAACGGAGGAGUACGAAGGUGCGCUCAGACCGGUCGGAAAUCGGUCGCAGAGUAUAAAGGCAAAAGCGCGCUUGACUGCGAGACAGACACGUCGAGCAGGUACGAAAGUAGGUCUUAGUGAUCCGGUGGUUCUGUAUGGAAGGGCCAUCGCUCAACGGAUAAAAGGUACUCCGGGGAUAACAGGCUGAUACCGCCCAAGAGUUCAUAUCGACGGCGGUGUUUGGCACCUCGAUGUCGGCUCAUCACAUCCUGGGGCUGAAGCCGGUCCCAAGGGUAUGGCUGUUCGCCAUUUAAAGUGGUACGCGAGCUGGGUUUAGAACGUCGUGAGACAGUUCGGUCCCUAUCUGCCGUGGACGUUUGAGAUUUGAGAGGGGCUGCUCCUAGUACGAGAGGACCGGAGUGGACGAACCUCUGGUGUUCCGGUUGUCACGCCAGUGGCAUUGCCGGGUAGCUAUGUUCGGAAAAGAUAACCGCUGAAAGCAUCUAAGCGGGAAACUUGCCUCAAGAUGAGAUCUCACUGGGAAUUUGAUUCCCCUGAAGGGCCGUCGAAGACUACGACGUUGGU
rnacentral:rRNA from 1 species